UGCCAGCCGCCGCGGUAAUACGGAGGGUGCAAGCGUUAAUCGGAAUUAUUGGGCUUAAAGGGUGCGUAGGCGGCGUUGUAGGUGGGGUGUGAAAUCCCUCGGCUCAACCGAGGAAUUGCGCCCCAAACCACAGUGCUAGAGGGAGACAGAGGUAAGCGGAACUGAUGGUGGAGCGGUGAAAUGCGUUGAUAUCAUCAGGAACACCGGUGGCGAAAGCGGCUUACUGGGUCUCUUCUGACGCUGAGGCACGAAAGCUAGGGUAGCGAACGGGAUUAGAUA
rnacentral:rRNA from 1 species